CUUCUACUUGAGUGCUUGACUUAUUCCACCUGACCCUGAGGACCAGAGAUCUCUUAUGAGAGGGGAGAUUUCUGGAGCCCUUUGGAGCAUAAACAGGAAGAAGGCACACUAGUGGCAUAGUUGAUGGACUGCUUGCAGGUGGCAAAUCUCAGCUAGAAGAUUCAGCACCUUUGAUGUAAGGACUUCCCCAUUCCUGAGGUCCAAGUUCAAGAUCUGGUGCAACUGCAGUCUGUCUUGAGUUACACAGUUUUCUGCAUGUGACCUCUCUUUCAUUCACUCUUCCAAAGAGUGCCAUAGAAGAAUGAUUGAUGGUCCUUUCUAAAAUGCUCUGCAGCGAGGAAUUGUUCACUCCCCACAACCAACCCAGAUUGAAAGUCCAUGGCCAAGUAUGCCAAAGCAAGAGAAACCAGAAGAGCCCCAAGGCAACAUUAAAGGUCCUUUCCUUUGCAUUACACUUCGAGCAAUGCUUUUUCUCAACAGUAACCUAGGCAUAAAACCUCUGACAGAAGUACAGGGUUUGUGCAGCGAUUUGUGCAAUCAGAAGAUUUGUUAUGAGAAAAGAAACUUUGGGAGCAUUUUGGAACCUCAUAUAAUCAUGCUAAUGCAGCAUUUUCACAACUCUUCUUGUUCCCUGUUGCUCGUUAGUAAUCAGCCCAAAAGAAAAAAAAGGCAGUACAAUUUUUUGUUUUCAUGGGAAUUGUUUGUUACAUCUGCUUUAUACUGUAGGAAACACCUGGUAGGCUUAGCAAUCUCAUUGUAUUACUUUCUGUAUACAUUUCCCAUUUGCCACAUAAGCUCUAUUCUUCCAUUCUUCUCAGUGCUCAAAUGGCAGGGAAUAUCAUCAUUAUCUACAGUUUCAUUAAAAACAAUUGUCGAA